GCUGGGCAAAGUGGCAUACACCUUUAGUCCCAAUUACUUAGGAGGCUGAGGCAGGAGGAUCGCUUGAGCCCAGGAGUUUAAGGCUGGGCAACAUAGAUAUCUUGCCUCUU
rnacentral:sRNA from 1 species